GACGAACGCUGGCGGCGUGCUUAACACAUGCAAGUCGAGCGGUAAGGCCCUUUCGGGGGUACGACGAGCGGCGAACGGGUGAGUAACACGUGGGUGACCUGCCCUCAGCUCUGGGAGUAAGCCUGGGAAACCGGGGUCUAAUACUGGAUAUGACUCCAUGACGCAUGUUGUGGGGUGGGAAAGCCUUGUGCGGCUGAGGAUGGGCCCGCGGCCUAUCAGCUUGUUGGUGGGGUGGAUGGCCUACCAAGGCGACGACGGGUAGCCGGCCUGAGAGGGCGACCGGCCACACUGGGACUGAGACACGGCCCAGACUCCUACGGGAGGGCAGCAGUGGGGAAGUCUUGCGCAAUGGGCGAAAGCCUGACGCAGCGACGCCGCGUGAGGGAUGACGGCCU
rnacentral:rRNA from 1 species